rnacentral:rRNA from 1 species
AACGAACGCUGGCGGCAUGCCUAACACAUGCAAGUCGAACGAGACUUUCGGGUCUAGUGGCGCACGGGUGCGUAACGCGUGGGAACCUGCCCUUAGGUUCGGAAUAACCCCCCGAAAGGGGUCCUAAUACCGGAUAAUGUCUUCGGACCAAAGAUUUAUCGCCUUUGGAUGGGCCCGCGUUGGAUUAGCUAGUUGGUAGGGUAAAAGCCUACCAAGGCGACGAUCCAUAGCUGGUCUGAGAGGAUGAUCAGCCACACUGGGACUGAGACACGGCCCAGACUCCUACGGGAGGCAGCAGUGGGGAAUAUUGGACAAUGGGCGAAAGCCUGAUCCAGCAAUGCCGCGUGAGUGAUGAAGGCCUUAGGGUUGUAAAGCUCUUUUACCCGGGAUGAUAAUGACAGUACCGGGAGAAUAAGCUCCGGCUAACUCCGUG